AGUUAUCAUCCUUGUAAGCUUUGAUUGAAACUAUUUGUAUUAAUCAGUAUCUUACCAUAUAUAUGAGUAUAUGAGAAAUCAAAUUGAAAACGGAGAAGUACAGGAAAUGAAGAAACAGAGUGACUCAGAUAUCAGCAACACAGGAAAUGUACCAUGAGAGACACAAGGGAGCAAGGGAGGGGUAUUUUUAUGGGACUAUAGGGCUGGGGAAUUUGAAACUCCAGUUGGCCUCUCUUGCCAUGAAGUCAUGCUAGAGACACAGCCCAAGGGAGAAACAGAUGGUGUUUCCCUUGUAUAGGGGACCCUAGAAGAUGUUAUAUACCAAGAAAACUCACUACACUGCCAGCCUUUAGAGAAGAAAUUGAAAAUACAUAUUCAGCAAUCUCAAUGACCAAAGUUACCCAAGCAGCAGUUGGUUAUACUAAUAAAUGUCUGGAAGAUAAUGGCCAUCACUUUGAGCACCUCUUGUAAUUGUAGAGGCCAAACAUAACUUGUAUCUCAUAAUACCUCAAUAAAUUUAGUAUUAAAAUAUUUAUAUGUUUUUAUUUUCCUUAAAUGUGUAUACAUGUUUUUGGCAGACUCUGUACAUAUAUAGAACCCUCCUGCCUUAAGAACUUCCUUGUUCCUGUCUGCCACACUAUGAACUGUUUCUCCUCUGCUAUGUCCAUCUGGCACAUUCCCCUGCCUUGGAG
ensembl:lncRNA